rnacentral:rRNA from 1 species
UGCAGUCGACGAUGAAGCCCUUCGGGGUGGAUUAGUGGCGAACGGGUGAGUAACACGUGGGCAAUCUGCCCUGCACUCUGGGACAAGCCCUGGAAACGGGGUCUAAUACCGGAUAUGACCAUCUUGGGCAUCCUUGAUGGUGUAAAGCUCCGGCGGUGCAGGAUGAGCCCGCGGCCUAUCAGCUUGUUGGUGAGGUAAUGGCUCACCAAGGCGACGACGGGUAGCCGGCCUGAGAGGGCGACCGGCCACACUGGGACUGAGACACGGCCCAGACUCCUACGGGAGGCAGCAGUGGGGAAUAUUGCACAAUGGGCGAAAGCCUGAUGCAGCGACGCCGCGUGAGGGAUGACGGCCUUCGGGUUGUAAACCUCUUUCAGCAGGGAAGAAGCGAAAGUGACGGUACCUGCAGAAGAAGCGCCGGCUAACUACGUGCCAGCAGCCGCGGUAAUACGUAGGGCGCAAGCGUUGUCCGGAAUUAUUGGGCGUAAAGAGCUCGUAGGCGGCUUGUCACGUCGAUUGUGAAAGCUCGGGGCUUAACCCCGAGUCUGCAGUCGAUACGGGCUAGCUAGAGUGUGGUAGGGGAGAUCGGAAUUCCUGGUGUAGCGGUGAAAUGCGCAGAUAUCAGGAGGAACACCGGUGGCGAAGGCGGAUCUCUGGGCCAUUACUGACGCUGAGGAGCGAAAGCGUGGGGAGCGAACAGGAUUAGAUACCCUGGUAGUCCACGCCGUAAACGGUGGGAACUAGGUGUUGGCGACAUUCCACGUCGUCGUGCCGCAGCUAACGCAUUAAGUUCCCCGCCUGGGGAGUACGCCGCAAGCUAAAACUCAAAGGAUUUGACGGGGGCCCGCACAAGCGGCGGAGCAUGUGGCUUAAUUCGACGCAACGCGAAGAACCUUACCAAGCUUGACAUACACCGGAAGCAUUAGAGAUAGUGCCCCCCUUGU